GAUAAUCAACAAAGUAUCUAACAAUCCAAAUUCUAGUUAAGUUAGCACCUAGCAAAAUAGAUUCAAGUUCCUAAAACAAACAUAAUCAAGGGGGUGGUAGAUUCCUCAUCUCAGCUAGCAGCUUCAUGAACUCGGCUUGCUGUGCCUGCAACUGUGCCUGUACGUCUGCACGCAUCUGAGCCUCUCUAACUUGUGCCUCCUCUCGUAUAUGCGCCUCUCUAGCCUCCAUCUUAGCCUGCAUCUAAGCCUCGUACUCCUUCAUCUUAUCGGCUAAAACUGCAUCAAGCUGAGGCUGUGAGCUAAAACUGGCUCCUUGGUUGGAUCUAGAGGUGGAGGUGUAAGCAUGAGAACGUGAACCAAUCCCAAAAACUCGCUUCUUGGCCGAUACGCCUCCAACUGCAUCCAGUAGUAACCUGUUCAUGUCUACCUCCUGAGACUCAGAGCCAUCAUUUGACUGAGAUUGAGCUAGCUCUGCAGCCUUGGCAGUCACUUGGGCCUGUUUUUGUAGUUAAUAAAAACUUUAUAAGUUAAUCAUUAAGUAUAGAUACAUAAAGAUGAAUUUGUGAUAACUUAAUUUAAGGAUUUCAUACGUAUGCAUCUCGAGCUCUGGGAUAGGUGAAUUCUCCAGCCUUCGCAU
rnacentral:lncRNA from 1 species